UUAUGCUGAGCAAGGAGACAGCUCGUUUCAGUACUGUCACGCGAGGCGUGCUUCCUUCCUGGUCGUCGUCCCGCCAUGGACCAAGCCAGAGCCAGCCAACACCACGUUGCUUUUCUCCUCCUUAUCUUCAUCCUGGACCACUCCAACUACCAAGUCCCAUCCAGCACGGCAUCUCCCCUCCAUCUUCUUCCUCUCCACGCAAGACAAGGAGGGGAGGAAAAAUAUCUUCAGAAACACCGGCGCCAUCACCGUCGCACGGCAGUCUCCGGCCACCACCCGCCAAGCCGAGACCACCUCCAGCUUCGUCGUGAGACGCUAAAGCCCAUCGACACACGCGCGCAUCCAAUCGGCCAGGAAAUCGACGUCCAUAUCGUCGUUCCUCAUCGGCCAUCACGCACCAGCGAGAUUUCCGGCCGCCUCCGACCUCGUCCGCCCCAGCCGAGGUGUUCAUCAGCUUCCUGGUUCCUCUUCACCAUCGAUCCGCUGGCAUUUGCUUCUUCCCGGAUAGGAUCGCGAAGUGGUGUUGUGAGAUACGA